rnacentral:rRNA from 1 species
UGGGGAAUAUUGGACAAUGGGCGCAAGCCUGAUCCAGCCAUGCCGCGUGAGUGACGAAGGUCUUCGGAUUGUAAAGCUCUUUUUGGCGGGGACGAUAAUGACGGUACCCGCAGAAUAAGCCCCGGCUAACUUCGUGCCAGCAGCCGCGGUAAUACGAAGGGGGCUAGCGUUGUUCGGAAUCACUGGGCGUAAAGCGCACGUAGGCGGAUUUGUUAGUCAGGGGUGAAAUCCCGGGGCUCAACCUCGGAACUGCCUCUGAUACUGCAAAUCUCGAGUCCGAUAGAGGUGAGUGGAAUUCCUAGUGUAGAGGUGAAAUUCGUAGAUAUUAGGAAGAACACCAGUGGCGAAGGCGGCCAACUGGCUCGAUACUGACGCUGAGGUGCGAAAGCGUGGGGAGCAAACAGGAUUAGAUACCCGCGUAGUCCCUGAGCGGGCUGGCAAGGCGCAU